UUAUCAGACUUGUUACAAGGUUGUUCUAACAAAUCUGAUACAAUCACGAUAUAAGAAGGAUGUUGCAAGAUUGACGACACAAGAUUGUAACAGUAUUGUUAUUUCAUGACUGUAUCGGACUUGUUGGAACAAUCUUGCAACAAGUAUGAUAA